rnacentral:rRNA from 1 species
CAGCAGCCGCGGUAAUACGUAGGGCGCAAGCGUUGUCCGGAAUUAUUGGGCGUAAAGAGCUCGUAGGCGGCUUGUCACGUCGGUUGUGAAAGCCCGGGGCUUAACCCCGGGUCUGCAGUCGAUACGGGCAGGCUAGAGUGUGGUAGGGGAGAUCGGAAUUCCUGGUGUAGCGGUGAAAUGCGCAGAUAUCAGGAGGAACACCGGUGGCGAAGGCGGAUCUCUGGGCCAUUACUGACGCUGAGGAGCGAAAGCGUGGGGAGCGAACAGGAUUAGAUACCCUGGUAGUCCACGCCGUAAACGU